CCUACGGGAGGCAGCAGUGGGGAAUUUUGGACAAUGGGCGAAAGCCUGAUCCAGCCAUGCCGCGUGCAGGAUGAAGGCCUUCGGGUUGUAAACUGCUUUUGUACGGAACGAAAAGCCUCUUUCUAAUAAAGAGGGGUCAUGACGGUACCGUAAGAAUAAGCACCGGCUAACUACGUGCCAGCAGCCGCGGUAAUACGUAGGGUGCAAGCGUUAAUCGGAAUUACUGGGCGUAAAGCGUGCGCAGGCGGUUUUGUAAGACAGAGGUGAAAUCCCCGGGCUCAACCUGGGAACUGCCUUUGUGACUGCAAGGCUGGAGUGCGGCAGAGGGGGAUGGAAUUCCGCGUGUAGCAGUGAAAUGCGUAGAUAUGCGGAGGAACACCGAUGGCGAAGGCAAUCCCCUGGGCCUGCACUGACGCUCAUGCACGAAAGCGUGGGGAGCAAACAGGAUUAGAUACCCUGGUAGUCCACGCCCUAAACGAUGUCAACUGGUUGUUGGGUCUUCACUGACUCAGUAACGAAGCUAACGCGUGAAGUUGACCGCCUGGGGAGUACGGCCGCAAGGUUGAAACUCAAAUGAAUUGACGG
rnacentral:rRNA from 1 species